UUUAGCUCGGAGCUUGUUUACGCUGAGUUCAUUCACAAACCGCUCUUUUGCCGUUUCUGUUCUAGAAUUCCAUUUAGAACGGACACCCCUUCUGACUUCCUCUCACCCUCCAGAGAUCACAGCCAUUCCACUGACGGCCUACGGACCAAUGGCAGCGGCCGCAGCUGCAGCGGUGGUCAGAGGUACGCAAAAUCACAUUUACUUUGCUUGUUUGAAAAUGUACUUUUAUUUGUCAGAUUUUAAAAUGCAUUAAACUCCUUCCACUUGUAAAGCAGCUUGUGAAUGUUUAAGACAUCUGUCCUUCACCGUAGGUUCCACACACUCACGUACCGCCGGCUUCCUGGGCACCAGCAGCCCUGGGCCAAUGGCAGACCUGUAUGCAGCAGCCAAUCAGGAUUCAGGAGUCAGCAGCUAUAUCAGUGCGGCAAGUCCCGUCCCCAGCACAGGGUUUGGACACGGACUCGGGGGUCCUUUGAUUGCAACGGCCUUUACCAAUGGCUACCACUGAGGGGUGUCCAAUCAGAGCCCAGCAUGGGAGGAGAAACUCACGCGCUUGUGAACCGUGAGCACUUCUGGCGACGUGACGUGCUUUUGGGACGAACCCCACGGGCGGCUGCGGUCCCUCCUGACUCCGCUCUGGAGUUUCCACCUUUUCUUUUUCUCUAUUCUCUACUAACAUCACUUUUCGUUUUCCUCAUCCCGUAUUUCCUUCCUGACGUAUCCGACUCAUUUAUGAUAUGUCUGUCUUCUGAAAGAAAAAAAAUGAAGAAAAAAACUUUGUCAAAACAAUAUUGUUUGAUUGUACGUGCGGAGACGCAAGGAAUUUCGUUUCCCCGGAUUUUUAUUUUGACAAUUUUUCUGCAUUUGUUAUGUAUUUUUGCUGACUGUGUUUUUAUGUUUUUACUGUACUCAUGCUGUAAUGGAUGAUGUCGAGAAGACAGCGAGAGAGAAAGAGAAAGAAGGGGCACGAAACUGGAAAAAAAGUCCAGGAUCUGUUUGGUUUUUAAAACGAAUCUAAACAACACCGAACAAAUACGUGAGAAUGAAUCAAAUUUGUGAAAAACAAAGCAAAACGACGGGACAAAAAUGUAUAUUUUGGUAGUUUUUACACAGCAUUUGUAAUGUUAUAACGAACAUUCUUAAGCUGAAUCGGCUAUUUUUUCCGUAAAAUUGGUUUUACAUAAGAAACAACAGGUCUCAUUCAUGACUUUUCUGCGUGAAUCUGCAUUCUACAGUUUCAGAUGUAAGAAUAUUUGACACAUUUUUACACAGAAAUCCGUUCUGCUCAUGUUGAGGCUCAUUCUUCGGCUUCUUUUUGUAGAUACUGUAUAUAUGCAUGGAUUUUGGGAGGGUUCGAGGGUUCGGAUUGAAUGAUGGACUGGGGUUUGCGGGAGGGCUGAGGGUCCUUUAUGGUUCUUAACAUGCAAACAUCUUUCUUCACAUUUAGUCUUGCAUUUCUGAGACUAGUUUCAUGACCAAGUUGGACCGAUGUGGGUCUUUGGUUGUGCUUCUCUCGCUUUCGACUCCAUUUAUACUCUUUCGGCCUAAAUUCUCCGAAUCAAACGGACCUUUCGGUCGUUUCCGUUUCGUAUGAAUCCUCACGCUCGUGAAUGUUAAACCAUUCAGAAACCACGUUUUUUGAUGUUUGCUGUCACUUAUGAGGCGGCACAACAUCGCUGAAAAACCAGGUUGCGUUUUCCAUUAGAGCAAAUGAUUUGGUCGCGUGUUUGGGAAACGGAAACGCGGUCUUGAGCCGCCUCAUUUUCGAAGAGCACAGCUGCUGGGCUUCUCUUCAUGCUGUUUUUGGAAAUAUAUAUUAUAUAUAUAAUGUUUUGCGCAGUGUACUUCUAUUGUAAAUCGUUCCCUUUCUCCUUUUUCUGUUCGUUUUUGACGGUACAACGCUGUUUUUUUUUUUUUUUUGAAGAAAUGAAGGACAAAUUUACAAAGCAAAGGAGUCUGAGCGCUGUUACACCUGUCGUUGUGUGUUGGGAUGUGCGUGUGUGAGUGUAAGUUGCGGCGACUGCUUAGACUGAAGUAUGGAUGUACACGUAGCUAGUUUACAUGCAUUCAACUGCCACCUUUGAAACUGUCUUGUCUCUGCCAGCAAUGGAGAGGAACGUCUCUGAAAUCACAGCUCUAAUGGAGGCCUUCUGGGAAAAUUGCUAAUUUUUACGUAAUUGUUACACUUGACUAAUAAUAGAUGUUCAGAGUGAUUAUUUUUUUUCAUUUCAGCAACAUUGGAUCUGUUUGAUUUCUACUUAGUUGCAUUCAUUUUCAGUCUUCCAUUUGACACAUGUUGCCUCUUUUUGGAGCAGUGGUCACGUGACGACCGAAACUCCAGCUGACGGGGACGCCUCACAAAACUACUGCAUGGCACACACUGUAACUAUUUAACCAACAAAAAGCAAUAAGUUAAUUUUAAACUCAAGUAAUAAUGAACGCCGUUAACAGUGGUACGAAUACGAUGGCGGUUAUGUGGCAUUAAGAAUUAUUUUUCUGAAAAAAUCUAUAUUUUUCAAGAUCCGUUUUAACCCCUUGAAAGUUUCUCAGAUUUUUACAGUACAUGUUAGCUGUUUGUUUGGAGGAUUUGUUGAAGGGGAUCAGCGGCGGAACUGGAAAGCAUCAGUGGGCGGCACUCCGUCCCGUUGCUGUGGAGCUGCACGUCAACACUGAUCUGAUGCUCAAAUACGCUGGUUCGCUGGCCCUUUACUGUAUUUUUUAUUUUUUUUUCACCUCUGGAAAUUUUCAAGUAAAAAGAUCCUAAUAAAUUAUUUUAAAACAUU
ensembl:lncRNA